GCAAUUAAGACGUGAAGAUAGAAAGGCAGAUUGAAUGUGAAUAAUGGUGGGAGUGACUCCAGGUUGCAGAUGAAGCAUCGGUGUGUUUCAAUUUCAUCUCAAGUUCAUCAUGGUUGAAACACACAAGACACAUCUCACCAAUUUUGAAUGCCGGAGCAACACAAAGUUUCGACAACAACACUGAUUUAGACUGUUAUUUGUUUGAUUUCUUCAAUUUCAUCUCAUCAAUCCGACCACCUGCUUAGGUUUUCCUCAACUCUUCUGCCGCACAGAGUCAUCACCGGCAGGUUUUGGCUGUUGAUUUUGCUCUCUAAGCAAGGGUUUGUUGUUGAGUAAUCCGAUAUGGAUUCAGAUUUCAGAAACAGGUAAUGGUGGGGCUACGGAUGUUUUACCACAACCACCACCUGUUCCAGAAGACCUCGUUCCAAUCAAAGCUGAGCCAGAAGCCAAGAAGAAGGUCAUGCGUGUACCCAUGGCUAGGAGGGGCCAUGCCAGCAAGGUCAAAAAGCCCAACUUUUGACCAAUCACUUCAAAGUCAACGUGUCGAACGUUGAUGGACACUUUUUCCACUACAGUGUGGCCCUUUUCUAUGAAGAUGGCCGCCCUGUAGAUGCUAAAGGCGUGGGCCGAAAGGUGAUUGAUAAAGUUCAUGAAACGUACAAAUCUGAACUGGAUGGAAAAGAGUUUGCUUACGACGGAGAGAAGACUUUGUUUACUGUCGGUGCGCUUCCCAGAAACAAACUCGAGUUCACUGUUGUACUUGAUAGUAUGAAUUCACCAGAUGGCUAGGAGAACCAGUGGGUUAAAUCUGACUGGAAGCAAGAUGAGAACAUGGCUGGGAAGUGGAAUUAUUAAUUAUACAUCUGGCAAAUGGAAUACGAAUGCGAAAAUAUAUUACAAAAAUGAUCUUUUAAGGUGUUUGUUUAUAUAUGGCCAGUUUUGAUUAUUUUUUUAAUCUAUUUGUUUAUUUUUGCAGUCAUUUUUAGUGAUGCUAAGGCACAAGAAGCGUGUUGGAUACACAGGAAAUGACACUGAAACUCAAAGCUCUGGAAAUAUUGGUCAAGAUCAACUGCCCAAAUGCUACUCAGAGUUCUUAUUAAUGAUUGCAGCCCAUCUAUAUCAAUAGAUAACAUCAGGCUUAAUAAAUGAGGCACCGAAGGUGAAUGCGGUGCCAGAAAAAAAGGAAGAAGGGGAGGCGUCAAACGCAGCCCACGACGAAGGUGAAGAAGAAGAGAAAAUUGAGGGAGUAGUGGCGGCGGCUCCUCGUAGAAUGACAAGACACUGUUGAAGAAUCUAUAGUUAGUAGCUUUCUUUGAGUGGUUUAAUUGUUCGGUUCGGUUAAGGUUGGUUUAAUUCGGUUAUAUACUCACUCCUAGAACAUACAUAUACUUGUAAUACUAAAGCAGUCAGCUAGACUUUCUCUGCAUGUGUGUGACCUUAUAGGUUCAAUGACUAUUUUUUGUUGAAUGACAUAAAAUGUUAGAAACC